AGUGGGGAAUAUUGGACAAUGGGCGGAAGCCUGAUCCAGCCAUGCCGCGUGUGUGAAGAAGGCCUUUUGGUUGUAAAGCACUUUAAGCGAGGAGGAGGCUCCUUUAGUUAAUACCUAAAGUGAGUGGACGUUACUCGCAGAAUAAGCACCGGCUAACUCUGUGCCAGCAGCCGCGGUAAUACAGAGGGUGCGAGCGUUAAUCGGAUUUACUGGGCGUAAAGCGUGCGUAGGCGGCUUUUUAAGUCGGAUGUGAAAUCCCUGAGCUUAACUUAGGAAUUGCAUUCGAUACUGGAAAGCUAGAGUAUGGGAGAGGAUGGUAGAAUUCCAGGUGUAGCGGUGAAAUGCGUAGAGAUCUGGAGGAAUACCGAUGGCGAAGGCAGCCAUCUGGCCUAAUACUGACGCUGAGGUACGAAAGCAUGGGGAGCAAA
rnacentral:rRNA from 1 species